rnacentral:rRNA from 1 species
UACGUAGGGGGCAAGCGUUGUCCGGAAUUAUUGGGCGUAAAGCGCGCGCAGGUGGUUCCUUAAGUCUGAUGUGAAAGCCCACGGCUCAACCGUGGAGGGUCAUUGGAAACUGGGGAACUUGAGUGCAGAAGAGGAAAGUGGAAUUCCAAGUGUAGCGGUGAAAUGCGUAGAGAUUUGGAGGAACACCGGUGGCGAAGGUGACUUUCUGGUCUGUAAAUGACAUUGAGGCGCGAAAGCGUGGGGAGCAAACAGG